rnacentral:rRNA from 1 species
GUUGAACGCUGGCGGCAGGCCUAACACAUGCAAGUCGCACGAGUGGCGGACGGGUGAGUAAUUUCUGGGAAACUGCCUGAUGGAGGGGGAUAACUACUGGAAACGGUAGCUAAUACCGCAUACCAUGGGAUGUGCCCAGAUUGGAUUAGCUAGUAGGUGGGGUAAAGGCUCAUCUAGGCGCCGCUCCCUAGCGGGUCUGAGAGGAUGACCAGACACACUGGAACUGAGACACGGUACAGACUCCUACGGGAGGCAGCAGUGGGGAAUAUUGCGCAAUGGGCGCAAGCCUGAUGCAGCCAGGCCGCGUGUAUGAAGAAGGCCUUCGGGUUGUAAAGUACUGGCAGUGGGGAGUCGUUACCCGCAUAAGAAGCACCGGCUAACUCCGUGCCAGCAGCCGCGGUAAUUC